GACGAACGCUGGCGGCGUGCUUAACACAUGCAAGUCGAGCGGUAAGGCCCUUUCGGGGGUACGACGAGCGGCGAACGGGUGAGUAACACGUGGGUGACCUGCCCUCAGCUCUGGGAUAAGCCUGGGAAACUGGGUCUAAUACUGGAUAUGACUCCACGGUGCAUGUCGUGGGGUGGAAAGCCUUGUGCGGCUGAGGAUGGGCCCGCGGCCUAUCAGCUUGUUGGUGGGGGAUGGCCUACCAAGGCGACGACGGGUAGCCGGCCUGAGAGGG
rnacentral:rRNA from 1 species